UGUUUAUGAUAUUAGUCCAAGGCUUGUUUCUCAAGAACAUUCGCAGUUGCCGAUUAAGAGCUUUUCGCCUUUCACCGGGCUUGAGAGCUAAUGCUGCUUUAUUCCUUCCUUGGAUUUCUGGAACA